rnacentral:rRNA from 1 species
CAAUAGCGUAUAUUAAAGUUGUUGCGGUUAAAAAGCUCGUAGUUGGAGUUCUGCCAGGUGCCGCCUGUCCGCCCCAGUGGUGAGUACGUGGCGCGCAUUUGGCCCUUUCAAGGGGAGCGUAUCUGCACUUUAUUGUGUGGUGCGGGAUCCUUGACUUUUACUUUGAGGAAAUAGGAGUGUUCCAAGCAGGCUCUCGUCGUGCACAGCUCAGCAUGGAAUAAUAGCAUUGGACCUCGAUUCUAAGCUGUUGGUUGCCAGAAGCGAGGUAAUGAUGAAGAGGGAUAGUUGGGGGCAUUCGUAUUUAACUGUCAGAGGUGAAAUUCUUGGAUUUGUUAAGACGGACUACUGCGAAAGCAUCUGCCAUGGAUGUUUUCAUUGA